rnacentral:rRNA from 1 species
CUUGGUCAUUUAGAGGAAGUAAAAGUCGUAACAAGGUCUCCGUUGGUGAACCAGCGGAGGGAUCAUUACCGAGUUUACAACUCCCAAACCCCUGUGAACAUACCUAUUGUUGCCUCGGCGGAUCAGCCCGGCCCCGGUAAAACGGGACGGCCCGCCAGAGAGGACCCCUAAACUCUGUUUUUAGUGUAACUUCUGAGUAAAACAAACAAAUAAAUCAAGACUUUCAACAACGGAUCUCUUGGUUCUGGCAUCGAUGAAGAACGCAGCAAAAUGCGAUAAGUAAUGUGAAUUGCAGAAUUCAGUGAAUCAUCGAAUCUUUGAACGCACAUUGCGCCCGCCAGUAUUCUGGCGGGCAUGCCUGUUCGAGCGUCAUUUCAACCCUCAAGCACAGCUUGGUGUUGGGAUUCGUGAGGUAAACUCACGGUCCCCAAAUUGAUUGGCGGUCACGUCGAGCUUCCAUAGCGUAGUAAUUACACCUCGUUACUGGUAAUCGUCGCGGCCACGCCGUUAAACCCCAACUUCUGAAUGUUGACCUCGGAUCAGGUAGGAAUACCCGCUGAACUUAAGCAUAUCAAUAAGCGGAGGA